AGCUCCAAUAGCGUAUAUUAAAGUUGCUGCAGUUAAAAAGCUCGUAGUUGGAUCUCGGGUACCCGGUCUAGCCCGUAUAGCUCCCGCUAAAACCGGGCUGACCCCCCAACCUUAGGGAUUCCUCCCCGGGUGCCCUUCCUUGGGUGCCUCUGAGGGGCCUCGUAGUUACUGUGAAAAAAUUAGAGUGUUCAAAGCAGGCUCAUAUGUUCGGAUAGUCGUGCAUGGAAUAACUGAAUACGUGACUGGCGCUUUUCAGUUGGUCUCGGCGACUGGUCAAAUGAUUAAGAGGGACUGCCGGGGGCAUUGGUAUGGCGGGGUUAGAGGUGAAAUUCUUGGAUCCUCGCCAGACCAACAAAAGCGAAAGCAUUUGCCAAGAAUGUCUUCA
rnacentral:rRNA from 1 species